rnacentral:tRNA from 1 species
GGCGGGCUGUGCUUCGCGGGAGGCGACCGGCUUUGAACCCCGGACCACUGGAAACGGUGACUGUUCGACUCAGUGGCCCGCCGCCA